rnacentral:rRNA from 1 species
GAUGAACGCUGGCGGCGUGCCUAACACAUGCAAGUCGAACGGAGCUGCUUUGAUGAAGUUUUCGGAUGGAUUUAAAACAGCUUAGUGGCGGACGGGUGAGUAACGCGUGGGUAACCUGCCUCACACUGGGGGAUAACAGUUAGAAAUAGCUGCUAAUACCGCAUAAGCGCACAGUUCCGCAUGGAACAGUGUGAAAAACUCCGGUGGUGUGAGAUGGACCCGCGUCUGAUUAGCCAGUUGGCGGGGUAACGGCCCACCAAAGCGACGAUCAGUAGCCGGCCUGAGAGGGUGAACGGCCACAUUGGGACUGAGACACGGCCCAAACCCCUACGGGAGGCAGCAGUGGGGAAUAUUGCACAAUGGGGGAAACCCUGAUGCAGCGACGCCGCGUGAGUGAAGAAGUAUUUCGGUAUGUAAAGCUCUAUCAGCAGGGAAGAAAGUGACGGUACCUGAAUAAGAAGCCCCGGCUAACUACGUGCCAGCAGCCGCCGUAA